GAUGAAGAACGCAGCGAAAUGCGAUAACUAAUGUGAAUUGCAGAAUUCAGUGAAUCAUCGAGUCUUUGAACGCACAUUGCGCCCCCUGGUAUUCCGGGGGGCAUGCCUGUCCGAGCGUCAUUGCUGCCUCAAGCACGGCUUGUGUGUUGGGCUCCGUCCCCCCGGGGACGGGCCCGAAAGGCAGCGGCGGCACCGAGUCCGGUCCUCGAGCGUAUGGGGCUUUGUCACCCGCUCUGUAGGCCCGGCCGGCGCCAGCCGACAACCCAUCAUCCUUUUCAGGUUGACCUCGGAUCAGGUAGGGAUACCCGCUGAACUUAAGCAUAUCAAUAAGCGGAGGA
rnacentral:misc_RNA from 1 species